rnacentral:rRNA from 1 species
CCUACGGGUAGCAGCAGUGGGGAAUAUUGGGCAAUGGGCGCAAGCCUGACCCAGCAACGCCGCGUGAAGGAAGAAGGCUUUCGGGUUGUACACUUCUUUUGUCAGGGAAGAGUAGAAGACGGUAACUGACGAAUAAGCCACGGCUAACUACGUGCCAGCAGCCGCGGUAAUACGUAGGUGGCAAGCGUUGUCCGGAUUUACUGGGUGUAAAGGGCGUGUAGCCGGGUUGACAAGUCAGAUGUGAAAUCCUGCGGCUUAACCGCAGAACUGCAUUUGGAACUGUAAGGCGAGAGUGUCGGAGAGGCAGGCGGAAUUCCUAGUGUAGCGGUGAAAUGCGUAGUUAUUAGGAGGAACACCAGUGGCGAAGGCGGCCUGCUGGACGAUGACUGACGUUGAGGCUCGAAAGCGUGGGGAGCAAACAGGAUUAGAUACCCCAGUAGUC